GUCUCUUUGAAAAUAGAAAGAGUCAAACCUGCCCGCUGAAAGUUUUUAAGGGCCGCGGUAUUUUGACCGUGCGAAGGUAGCAUAAUCAUUAGUUUUUUAAUUGGAAUCUUGUAUGAAUGGUUAGACAAGAGAAACUCUGUCUCUUUAUUAAAAAUUGAAUUUAACUUUUAAGUGAAAAGGCUUAAAUAAGUUAAAGGGACGAUAAGACCCUAUAAAGUUUGAUAUAAAGUAUUAUUCAAUUGAAUUGAAAUUAAAGAUUUUAUAAUGCAGUUUAUUUUUUUGGGGUGAAAAAAGUAAAAUGUUUAAUAACUGCUGUAAAUGUGAUACAUGUUAGUUGGAAUAAAUUUUUAAAAGAUCCUAAAUAAAGAUUAUAAGUUUAAGUUACUUUAGGGAUAACAGCGUUAUUUUUUUUGAGAGUACGUAUCGAAAAAAAAGUUUGCGACCUCGAUGUUGAAUUAAAAUUUCUUUAUAGAAGCAGAAAUUAUAAUAGUUGGUCUGUUCGACCUUUAAAAUUUUACAUGAUUUGAGUUCAAACCGGUGUAAG
rnacentral:rRNA from 1 species